rnacentral:lncRNA from 1 species
AAAAAAUUAGCCAGGCGUGGUGGCAGGUGCCUGUAGUCCCAGCUACCUGGGAGACUGAGGCUGGAGAAUGGCAUGAACCCGGGAGGCGGAAGUUGCAGUGAGCUGAGAUCGCACCACUGCACUCCAGCCUGGGUGACCAAAAAAAAAAAAAAAAAAGUCCCAGGUGGUAAGUUCAUGAGUGGAUAAAAAUCUCAGUAUAGGUCGAAGCAGAUAUUGGUGGUUGAUGUUGGUGGUACAACAGUUCUUCUAGUUUCAUUUUCUUUUCCUACCUGGCCCUCUGCUUGGCAGAACUGAUAUAGAAAAAUCCACACACUCCCCAGUACACACAGCCCAAAUAUGUUUUUUAUAUGUUUAACAGUUUUAUUGAGCUAGAAUUUACUUACAAGAAGCUGCAGUAACGGAAAGUGUACAACUUAGUGAAUGUUACCAGUUGCAUAUGCCUGGGAAACCACCACAAUCAAGAUAAAGCCAGAUCUAUUAGAUUGGCUUCCUUGAAUGGGUGACCCAUUUUUUUUAUUCUUGGCAUUUUAUUGGCAGGUGGCAGAAACUCAGCCCACACUACUUAGGCAAAGAAGAGGGGCUAGAGAUGUGUGUAGUUGGAAAGUCCAGGAAUACACCAGCUUCAGGUAUGGCUGGCUUCAGGGGUUCAGAGGAUGUCAUGGGUGCCCUUUCUCCCCCUCUCAACCAAAUUCUCUCUCUAGAGCUGGCAAGAUGGCUGCUGGCAGUCCCCAACUAACAUUCUAUUUAGCAAUGCCUAAGAAAAGGAGCAGUCUCCUCUGAUGGCCCUGAGGAACUCCCAUAGGGCAGCUUUGGGUCAUGUGCCCAGCCCUGGAUGGGGUAAAAUCAGCACCGGGGAUGUGUUUGUGAGAGCUGGGUGUGCUCAUCUGUUCCCGAGUCCAAGGUCAGUGACGUCUCAGUGAUGUUAUGUCUGUAGCUUGAAGCUGGUAGUGGGGGAGUAUUUACACCAUGGAAAUUGGCAAAUGCUACAAAUCAAGGCUUUCCUCCCUGUCCCCUCUGCCUGCCCCCAGCUGGCCAUUAAACAGUUAUGUACACUACCGAGUCAGUCCUACCUAAAUCCAUGAAAUAGGUUCUCCUGAGGAAAGAGCUGUUCCGUUAAUAAAAGAGGAAAUUGACCCCAGUCAGACAGGAAUAACCGAGGAACUUCACUCUGCUGAAUUCAAAGCCACCUGCAGCAGACCUCAGGAAGGAGUCCUCCAAGAUAACAUCCCACCCCAAACCCCCAAGGGGACCAGACCAGGUUGAAUCCACUGCAGAGAUUGUUCAGCCAAUACGGACCCUUCUAGAAGAAGGGCCCAGGCUUUGUUCCUCUCCGACAGCUCACCUCCCUCCCCCUACCCCCGACCCCAACCCCCAACCACUGCCAGUCACAUUCUAUGGAAAAUUAAAGAACUUCCUAAGCCCGGCUGCUCUCUGCAAAGCCAUUCCAGCAACCUAGACCCGUGAUUUUCAGCUUGUUCAGCUAUUUUAAAACAACCCUCGCAAAGCAGCCCCAGAAAUGGGGGCUGCGGCUUGAUUUGAGGUUAAACAAAUAAGUACCAUUUAUCCACCAACGCUCUAGGAAUGAAAGAUUUCUUCAGGCUUAUUCCCAAGCUGUGCGCUCCAGAAAAGCUGCUGUCCCAAAUUGCCGGGUGCCAACCCAGUGUUCUUCAUUUCCAAAGAUACCUGGGGAGUUUUCAGCCGUGCUCUGCACAGAGCGCUAGGACGGAUGGCAGUGUGGGCGGCCAGGCAUGCCGCCUCAGCCUCCGCUCAGCCUCACCCUGGGUCUUCUUGGCUGUGUCAGCCUCUCAUCCCGGGACCCACAGAACCCUUGGAGCUCCCGGGGCAUUUCUUGGCCUGCUGGGAAAUGGCGCCUCUCCAUCUUAGGGGGCCCGGACCAGACUGCUGGCUGUUUGAGUCAGACAGCUUUUCUUCCCAUGUUUUGAGGGUAAGCAAGAACGAGAAAAAGGAAGAAAACAAAACAUAUUCUCAAACAAAUAAAACUGCACUCCAUCGGCCAGAAAAGCUGAGCCUCUCUGGGAUGUAGGGAACAGAAGCCACUCCACAGAGGACUCUCCCAUCCCUUUCUCUCUAGGAGACAUCCGUCUUUGUGCCCAAACUGGAAAUCUGAACCGCAAGCUCUCUCAUCUCCCUACUCUUGGAAGUUUUCUGUGGCAGAAACAAUAAUGUUCACUACACAGACCGUUGACUCCCCUGGGUUUCCCAGCUGUGCCAUAUGGCUAGCUUUGGCCGAUGAAAUUGAGCAGAAGUGAUACGUGUCAUUUCCAGAUGGUGCAGCUACAGCUGAUGGAACUUCCGUCAGCCUGGGUCCCUGAGUGAGUCUGUGGAAGAGAACUGCAACUGCCUGCCGACCUGCUGGGACAGACAACAUGAGCAAGAAGUAAGCUUUCGCUGGGCUCAGCCACUGAGACCCAGGGGCUGUUUGUUACCAUAGCGUUGCCUGGCACACCUGAUUCAAGCUCCUGACACGCUCUGUAGACUUUGCUGUGUUGUUCACUGGGAGGCACCAGCAUGCAUGAGAUAGAAAACACUUCCUUCCACUCUGGCCAAUA